rnacentral:rRNA from 1 species
UCCAGAGCUAAUACAUGCUACUCAUACCCCGAGACGGCAGGAGCUUGCUUCUCCGACGACGGGUGCUUUUAUUAGACCAAUCUGCUGGGAUCGCCUUCCUUCGCCCCCGCGCACUCCACGUGCGUGGGUUCUCGUCGGUCGGCGGUCGACUCGCUUAAUGGUGACUCUGGAUAACCAUCUCUGACAAGCGCACGUACUCUUCUUUUGAACGAGACGGCGCUGCCACUUUCGAGUGUCUGCCUUAUCAGCUUUCAACCGCUCGCUACACGCGACCGAUGGCUUUGACGGGUAACGGGGAAUCAGGGUUCGAUUCCGGAGAGGCAGCCUGAGAGACGGCUACCACGUCCAAGGACGGCAGCAGGCACGCAAAUUACCCAAUCCCAGCAUCUGGGGGAGGUAGUGACGAAAUCUAACGAUGCGGGCGCCCUUUCUGGGCCCCGCAAUCGGAAUGAGCACUUUCUAAACAACCUGUUGAGAACCUACUGAAGGGCAAGUCUGGUGCCAGCAGCCGCGGUAAUUCCAGCUUCAGCAGCAUCUAUUAAAGUUGCUGCGGUUAAAAGGCUCGCAAUUUGAAUG